UGUGGUCAGAAACGAGUACUCAGCUAAGGC
rnacentral:piRNA from 1 species